rnacentral:miRNA from 1 species
CACUUUUAAGAUCGAUUAUUUUAUAACUGAUCAUAAAAGUUAAUACUUUUAAGAUCGAUUACGAAACAACCGAUCUUAAAAAUA